GCUCCAGUGGCCUAGUGGAUAAAGUGUCCGCCUCGGAUGCGGGAGGUCGUGGGUUCAAAUCAUACCAAAGACU